UGCCCAUCCAGAGCGGCUCAGAGAUCUGGCUCGAUCACGCCGCAGCAACCGGGUCACACCCGGUGCUAAUGCCAGAACCGAUGGAAA
rnacentral:ncRNA from 2 species